rnacentral:lncRNA from 1 species
GGCAUUGCGGGAGGGGUCGGCUUCUCCUAGACAGGGAGAGAGAGGAGGUGGGUUACAUAUGGAUUCCGGAUUGCAGGGUCCCUGCCAUCGGGGAGAUUGUCUGGAUUGCACCUCUGCCCGGAAUAGACCAGGGAGACGUGUGCGCGAGUGGAGUAGCUUCUUCUAGCGCUGGGGAUAGGAUGGUUAUAAAUAGGUCCGGUGUAAGGAAGCCACUGCCUUAGGGAAGGCUUCUUGGAUUGCACCCAUUAUGCAAGAAGAAGAGAAGUAGCUUAAGAAGCUGGCUUCAUGGGUAAAGAGAGGGAGCGACAAGCAGGUUAUACCCAGGAUUAGGUUGUGUCCUCUCCAGAGGGAUGGGGGUGUAUAUUAAGGCCCAUUUGUCACAACCUCCAGGGAGGCCACCCUUGUUACAGUCCUGAUCAGGACAAGGUAGGUAUCAUUGGCCUGGGCCACCAGGGCUGUUAAAAGCCCUUGGGAGGUGAGGGGUUUUUGACUCUAAGGGCAGAGGGAGGCCAGGGGACUGAAGCUCUGUGCAGCGGGAGGUGGAAAACAGGAAAGGCCAACUGAUUGCACUUUGUAGGGUGGGAUACGGUCUCCAGGAAUGGGUUCUGAUUGCAUCCUAUGAAAGGCAGGGUGAUCACCUUCUCCAGGGAACACAGGCAGCCUGGAUCACACCUCUCAGGAGACCAGCUGGGGUUGCACACAUUUUGAGGGUGAGAAAAUGGGUGGGCCUCCAAGAUUGAACUCAACCCUGCUCUGGUAUCAGAAUGCCCCACAAGCUUCUGUGCUCUCACCAAGACAUGGAUCGGCCCAUCUUUGACCUUCAUCUGUUAUCUUUCCUACUUCAUUCUUCCCCACCCAGCCUAGACUCCAACCCUCCAGUCAAAUCCUGGUCCUGCCUGCCUGGUGAACCCAUAAAAACUCCCCAGGCUCAGUUCUCCUCCCCAAGCCACCAUCACCUCCAGCCUGGACUACUGUAGUCACCUCCUUGCCAUUCAGAGCAGGUCACGCUGCUUCUAGGAUUUACCACAAUGUGUGGAAUUAUUUUAUGUGACUAUAUAUUUACCAUCUCUAACUUCUAUGAGGGCAGAGACCAGUACCACUCAGAUGUCUAAUAGGCAUCUCAAAACCCAAAUUCCUGAUUCUUCUAACCCAGCGUGCUUCUCCUGGAGUACAGGGCAGCUCCAUCCUUCUAGCUGCUCAGGCCAGGAGCUUUGGGGUCCAGGACCCUGGACUGCUCUUUCUCUCACUGCACUUGUCAUGCUCCCAGUGGGUGGCACCAAACUGCAAUGCCAAGUCCGGACCUUUUCAAACUCCAGGUACCUAAAUGAAAUUUAGCAAAUCCUGUUUGAAUGUAGUUUCAAAACAGCCAAACACUUAGGACCGUCUCCACGGCAGCACCCUAGUCUGGUCUGUCUCUCUCCUGGACGGCUGCAUGGGGCUCCCCACAGGUCUCCUGCUCCCGCCUUGCCUCCUCUACAAACACUCCUUCACAUAACAGCCAGUGGGAUCAUGCCCUGAAUCUUCUCAGCAUCCUCCCCUGGAUCCCAUCUCACUUUAGUAUAAUAACUGCUAAUGGCCGAUGAGGCCCUACAUGUGUGGCUCCUUGUUUCUCCAACCUCCUCUCCUUCAGCCUUGAUGUCGUUUACUCUGACACCUGAGGAAUACUCCUGCUCCAGAUGUUUGCACUGGCUCUCCCCUCUGCCCUGAGUACUCUUCCUGCCACUGAGCCCAAGAAGCAGCCCUUAGGACUCAUCUGCAGUGACCGUCGGGAACAUCUGUCACAGGUGAGCAGCAACUCUUGGAAUCUUUCUUCCCCCGACUUUUGACUCACUCCUUCUGUGCUCCUGGAUUUCCUGCUCAAUUCUCUUUUGGGGACGCCUCUUCAUGUCCUCAGGUCCUGCCUAGCACCCAUCUCUUU